AUUGAACGCUGGCGGCAUGCCUUACACAUGCAAGUCGAACGGCAGCACGGGGGCAACCCUGGUGGCGAGUGGCGGACGGGUGAGUAAUGCAUCGGAACGUGCCCUGAAGUGGGGGAUAACGCAGCGAAAGCUACGCUAAUACCGCAUAUUCUGUGAGCAGGAAAGCAGGGGAUCGCAAGACCUUGCGCUUUGGGAGCGGCCGAUGUCGGAUUAGCUAGUUGGUGGGUAAAGGCCUACCAAGGCGACGAUCCGUAGCGGGUCUGAGAGGAUGAUCCGCCACACUGGGACUGAGACACGGCCCAGACUCCUACGGAGGCAGCAGUGGGGAAUUUUGGACAAUGGGCGAAAGCCUGAUCCAGCCAUGCCGCGUGAGUGAAGAAGGCCUUC
rnacentral:rRNA from 1 species